rnacentral:sRNA from 1 species
UGAAUUCAACUGAGACUCGGUUUCGGCCGAUA